CACGGGGGAGCAAGCGUUGUUCGGAAUCACUGGCGUAAAGGGCGUGUAGGCGGUCAAGUAAGUGGAAUGUGAAACGCCUCGGCUUACCCGAGGACCUGCAUCCCAAACUGCUUGGCUUGAGUAUGGGAGAGGAUGAAGGGAUUCCUGGUGUAGCGGUGAAAUGCGUAGAUAUCAGGAGGAACACCGGUGGCGAAAGCGCUCAUCUGCCAAUACUGACGCUGAGGCGCGAAAGCUAGGGGAGCAAACGGG
rnacentral:rRNA from 1 species